CAGCAGCCGCGGUAAGACAGAGGAUGCAAGCGUUAUCCGGAAUGAUUGGGCGUAAAGCGUCUGUAGGUGGCUUUUUAAGUCCGCCGUCAAAUCCCAGGGCUCAACCCUGGACAGGCGGUGGAAACUACCAAGCUGGAGUACGGUAGGGGCAGAGGGAAUUUCCGGUGUAGCAGUUAAAUGCGUAGAGAUCGGAAGGAACAUCUGUGGCGAAGGCGACUAUCUGGGCCAACACUGACACUGAGGCACGAAAGCGUGGGGAGCAAACAGGAUUAGAUACCCCCGUAGUCCCUGUCUCUUAUAC
rnacentral:rRNA from 1 species